GGCAGUGACACCUUGCCAGAUACUUCUUUUUUUUAAAGACAGAGUUUCGCUCUUGUUGCCCAGGCUGGAAUGCAAUGGCGCGAUCUCGGCUCACUGCAACUUCCGCCUCCCGGGUUCAAGAGAGUCUCCUGCCUCAGCCUCCCGGGUUCAAGAGAGUCUCCUGCCUCAGCCUCCCGAGUAGCCGGGAUUACAGGCAUGCGCCACCACGCAAAAUAGGCUAAUUUUAUAUUUUUAGUACAGACGGGGUUUCUCCAUGUUGGUCAGGCUGGUCUCGAACUCCCGACCUCAGAUGAUCCGUCCGCCCCCCCAACCCAAAGUGCUGGGAUUACAGGCGUAAGCCACCGCGCCCGGCCGCCAGAGACAUCUUUAAGGAACUUGGCGGUCUGGAGCCAGCCCGUACAUUAAUAUUCAAGGCCACAGCGCUGGUGAGUUCGGCGCCCUCUGUUGUAUUUUUGCAUCCCGGGAAGGCUGGCCCGGCUCUUUGGCCCGGCGUGUUUUGCUUCCGCGGGGGAGGUAAAGCUCUGCAGGACCCCGAUCGCCACGGCCUGCCGCAGUGGCCUGGAGUCGGCUGCCCCAGGGAACCACCUGGACAGCCCGAGGGCAAGAAAGCGGCACCAGUGGCCGACUCCACUGACUCUGGGCUGAAGAUGCCAUCAGUUAAAGAAAAGACACAUGAAAUUCUGGCAGAUUCGCUCAGAGGGCGCUUGGAGCACCAAGCCCAGCCUCUCAGGAAACUGAGGUCCAAGGGACAAAAAGAAUCUGCAGUCUCUUGCCGGCCUGUGUCCCCGUGGCCAGAGUCCAGCACCCUCUUCCUCGAAGCAACCAGAAGUGGAAAUGAAAGUGCUCCGUUAACUGUAGACUACAUGCCACCGAAGGGUCAUUCCUGACAGUGGCUUCUCCCCAUUAUCUCUUUAUUGCCGGAGGCUUCAUCUCGCCCCCCUGAAGCUACAGUCCACCCUGAGGUCAUAAACUUCUGCUCAGCACCCAUGGCAACUAAUGCAGAGGUCACCAUCAGAGGAUUAUAACUGCAGAUGGGAAACCGGGAUGAGAGGGGAGUUCUUUAAAAUCCUGUCUUGUUUUCCUGCAAAUAAUGCCUCUUACAUAAAAUCUGCGAAGAAAGAUGAAUGCAGCAAAGAGACUUGCCUUAGAAUCUCAGACUAGAUUGCUUUUUCCAUAUAGACUCCACUUAGUGAUUUUUGUUCUUUAUUUUUUUUUUAAACAAAAACCUAUUUCUGAAAAUACAACGAGCUGCUUUUUGCAGGGUUCACAAUUCCCAAUAGAUGAUGAUGCCAUUUUUCAAGGUCUCACACACGUUGUGGCUUUGGGGCUUAUUUAUUAGCUCCCAAGAAAAGCCUGCCUUUCAGUGAGGUUUAUAUACUCGAGUAAUUGCAUCAGGGGACACAGAGCAGGUUGCUGUUAAAGAGGGUUGGUUGUACAUGCGUCUGCAAGGAAGGCCCUGGGCCAGGCAGCUGUCAGACCAGUGUGCAACGGGUUUAAACAAACACAGGGAAGGGUCUGUGGAAACAGCAAGGAGGAAAUCCCCUUCUGUAAGGGUGUGUGGAACAUUAUUCCAGGGCCACACAUACUGCCAGGGAAUAAUGCCUUUCCUCUCCUCCCUCCAAGUAAACACAUAACUCCGUUAUGGAGAUGGCGCUGGGCCCACCCAGAUCACUUUCAAAUUCAGGUGUCAGAAACCACGGUUGACAUGGAGCAAAAUUGUUUUUAAGUAAAAAUCACGGUGCCGCUUUGAUAUGAAUUCCACCAGGGACUUUCCAAAGGUAUUUAUACACGUGCCUGAGAUUAACUAGAAGGUGAUUUUUUUCCUUUCAACCUUAAUUUCAAAAAAUUACCCAAGAAUUGCACUUGAGCCUGUUACUGCAGAGAAUUGAAAGAACACCCAAAUGCCAGGUCCCUGUGGAUGGGUGGAAGGAUAGACAAAUAAAUGUGUAACUGCAAGAGAGGUUGAUACCAACAUGGUAUUAGCAAGUCACGGCUGAAAAAAAUGCAGAUACCGGCCAAGCACGGUAGCUCACGCCUGUAAUCACAACACUUUGGGAGGCCGAGGCGGGUGGAUCACUUAAGGUCAGGAGUUCGAGACAAGCCUGGCCAACAUGGUGAAACCCCGUCUCCACUAAAAAUACAAAAAUUAGCUAGGCGUGGUGGCGCAAGCCCGUAGAUUCCCGGGAGGCAGAGGUUGCCGUGAGCCGAGAUCACACCACUGCACCCCAGCCUGGGUGACAGAGUGAGACACCCUCUCAAAAAAAGAAAAAAGAAAAAAAAAUGCAGAUACUUUCAGAAAAUAAAUCCCCGCUUCCCGUGUGUGCACUCUAGGCCCCCACAACUGUGGAUUUAAAUUGCCUGGGUUCAAAUUCUACUUCUGCCACCCACUAGCUGAGCAACCCUGGGCAAGUCACUUCUUUCCAUGCCUCAGUUUGAGGCUUCUGGUAGCACCUACGAGCAGUCAAUUGAGCUGUUGAUCCCAACUCCUCACUCUCCCGUGGUGGUUAUCACACGUCUGCAUCCUUGUCACAGCCUUCCAGUGCAGGGACUGUACUUCCCCAUUCCUUGACUUUGGACUUGCUUUAGACAAUGAGAUAAUGGGGAAUAUAACUGGAUCAGAGGCUUGGAAUGUGCUUGCAGGGCCAGACCUGCUUUCCUCUGCUCUGGUGGUCCACCAUGAGACGAACAUGUUGCUGCCUCUUCCAGAGAGGCUUCAGAAUGAACACACAAGGAAGAAACCUGAACUUGAUUCGCUGUCUGGAGCCAUGUCACUCCACAUACAGCAGGACUCAGAGCUGCUUUAGGCAACCUACAGAACAUGAGCAAGGCAGGGAAAAUGCUUAUUGUUGCAAGCCACUGAAUGUUGCAAAGUGUUUUGUUACACAGCAUUGUUGUGGCUGUAGCUGGCUGAUACAUGGCCUCAGUGGGCUAGUGUCAAGACUGAAGACAAAGUAUUUUAAAAAUACUCAGCACAAUUCCUAGGACACAGUAAGAGUUGAAAAUAGUAGUUCUUAUUAGUAAUCAUUAUUAUUGCAAGUAGUUUUACCCAUGAUAGUCACAUAAUUGAAUGUUUGUUAACAUGCAAUUACGUAAUGAGGUUGAAUCCAUGAAUAAGUAUAACUUGAAUAAAGAUUCUGUAAGAGAUGCUACAAGGACACCAGCAACCUGGAAUGUCAGGGACUUGCCACAAUCCUUAAAAUCACAUUCACUCACUCACUCAUUCAUUCAUUCAUUCAGCAGACACUCUCUGAACACCUGCUGUGUGCCACUCACAGGGCUGAAUGUGGGAACCACUAAGGUCACUAAGACUCAGCCCCCUCCUGAAGAAAGGGACCUUCAAAGUCCCACCUUGUGACAAGCACUGUGCUAAGCACUUUCCCAUGCCUAUGAGGCCAGUAUUACUUAUCCCUAUUUUUCAGGCCGGGAGACUGAGGCUUACAAACCAAACACUCAAAGACAAAAGGCCAUGCCUAUUCCAUGAGUGUGCACCAGUGCCCAUGAAUUCAAAUUCAUAGUGGGCAGACCCAUUAGGGAAGCGCUGUGGGGCAGGGCAAAGAACGGACACACCUUGUCACUCUCUGCCUCCUGCAUGCUAGGAGGGGCUCAGUAAACACUGAGGCUCAGGAGCCCCAGGUCCUGCUCCUGCCACUGAAAAGGGCUGCACCUGGGUGUGAGGGAGCCCUUGGGGUCAUUGCGGAGGACUUCAAAUUCAUUUUGGCAGCCUUGGCUUCAGAUUUCUGCCACCUCUGCCACCAGUAACGACCUGCCUCCCACUCUGUGACUUUGACAAAUUUAGACUGCUCAAUAACCUGAAGUGCAUUUCAAUUUCAUAAAUUUAGCAAUGCUCUGGUUAGGCGGCUCCCUUCUGCAGUAAUGCAUCCAUUAAGUGCACUUUAAGCCCAUUUUGGUAUGCUAAUCCAUCACAAAUCCACGUGAAAUUUGGGUUCUUGUGAAAAUUUCCUACACCCCAUCCAAAACCUCUACCGGAUUUAGGACAAUAACAACUAGUGGUUCCUUAGAACAGCAGACUUCGGCUCUGCAUCAAACCUUCAGUGAAAAAAGGAAUGGGGCUUGUUUUAAACCAAUGUCCAGACUUGUAUAUUCACGAGCGCCGUCUGCUCUUACAGGGUCCCCCUGAGGGGCGGUUCGCUUGUUCCAAAAGUGCUGCUGCAGCUUUAAGAUUUCAGAACUCUAUUCCAGAGGAACGGAGUCCUGUAUGUCUCUGCAUGCCCCUCCCCUAGCUCAGAGCCUGUAAAUGUUUACGAAUGACCCAGUUGGAAUCACCUGGCUUGAUUAGCACUUACUCAUCCGUCAGACUUCGUUAGCUUCAUAUGAUUUUCACUAUGUCCUGAUGAAGACUGGGGAUCCUAAAAUACAGGCAGAAGCCUCCGAAGGAAAAUCAGAUGCAGACCCCCAGUGCCUCCAGGGAUGACCACAUCAUCAUAAUGGUGCAACCUGUUUAUCCUACAGCCUCUGAGGCCGGAAGGAAUACGCAGCCAGUAAUUGACAAUACAAAGAACCUACAGGUGAUAAAAGAGACAUAAUGUCAUUGUUAUCACCACGUAAGACUCUGUUGCUACCAACUGUUGAAGGACAGCACCUAUUAAGUAGAUGUUUUUAGCUGCAUAAUAGACAUUUCGCCAAUAAGAUAAAGUUUACAGCUGGUAGCGUUCUCACUUACUUGCUUCUGUCAUAAGAUCUACAACCCAUUCAACAGCAAAAAUGAGCUGUUGACUUGGUAAAUUUAGAGCAGCGUCGCCUGCCCUAGAUGUGAAAUACCUC
rnacentral:lncRNA from 1 species